AUUGAACGCUGGCGGCAGGCCUAACACAUUCAAGUCGAACGAGUGGCGGACGGGUGAGUAAUUUCUGGUAAACUGCCUGAUGGAGGAGGAUAACUACUGGAAACGUUACCUAAUCCCGCAUCCCAUCGGAUGUCCCCAGAUGGGAUUAGCUUGUAGUUGGGGUAAAGGCUCACCUCGGCGACGAUCCCUAGCUGGUCUGAGAGGAUGACCAGCGAGACUGGAAAUGCGAAAGGGUCCAGACUCCUAGGGGAGGCAGCAGUGGGGAAUAUUGCACAAUGUGAGCAAGCCGGAUGUGGCCAUGACGCGUGUAUGAAGAAGGCCUUCGGGUUGUAAAGUACUUUCAGCGGGGAGGCGGUACCCGGAGAAGAAGCACCGGCUAAAUCGGUGCAAGCAGCCGCGGUAAUUC
rnacentral:rRNA from 1 species